GACAGAGGGUGCAAACGUUGUUCGGAAUUACUGGGCGUAAAGCGCGUGUAGGCUGCUCAGAAAGUCGGAUGUGAAAGCCCUGGGCUCAACCCAGGAAGUGCAUUCGAAACUGGCAAGCUUGAAUAUGGAAGAGGGUCGCGGAAUUCCCGGUGUAGAGGUGAAAUUCGUAGAUAUCGGGAGGAACACCAGUGGCGAAGGCGGCGACCUGGGCCAAUAUUGACGCUGAGGUGCGAAAGCGUGGGGAGCAAACAGG
rnacentral:rRNA from 1 species